rnacentral:misc_RNA from 1 species
GAUGAAGAACGCAGUGAAAUGCGAUAAGUAAUGUGAAUUGCAGAAUUCAGUGAAUCAUCGAAUCUUUGAACGCACAUUGCGCCCGCCAGUAUUCUGGCGGGCAUGCCUGUUCGAGCGUCAUUUCAACCAUCAAGCCCCGGGCUUGUGUUGGGGACCUGCGGCUGCCGCAGGCCCUGAAAAGCAGUGGCGGGCUCGCUGUCACACCGAGCGUAGUAGCAUAUAUCUCGCUCUGGGCGUGCUGCGGGUUCCGGCCGUUAAACCACCUUUUAACCCAAGGUUGACCUCGGAUCAGGUAGGAAGACCCGCUGAACUUAAGCAUAUCAAUAAGAGGAGGA